rnacentral:rRNA from 1 species
UUGGGUUAAGUCCCGCAACGAGCGCAACCCUUAUUGCUAGUUACCAUCAUUGAUUGGGGACUCUAGCGAGACUGCCAGUGGUAAACUGGAGGAAGUGGGGAUGACGUCAAAUCAUCAUGCCCCUUAUGACCUGGGCUACAAACGUGAUACAAUGGCUGAAACAGAGGGAGGCGAAGGGGUGACCUGGAGCGAAACCCAGAAAAACAGUCUCAGUUCGGAUUGAAGUCUGCAACUCGACUACAUGAAGUCGGAAUCGCUAGUAAUCGCGGAUCAGAACGCCGCGGUGAAUACGUUCUCGGGGUUU